CCCCCUUUCAGUUUCUCUCUUCUUUGUUGGUUUUAGUUAGUUAUUUGUUUGUAAACUUUGAAUUGAUUUUGUCUUUUUUAGCUAGAGAGAAGAAAAUGGUAGGAUGACACAAGUAGUGGAACCUUUUCUUUUUUAUGUAUAGAUUCGAUUUAUCGUGCUUAUUGUUUCUAAUGAUUUUUUUUUAAAAUUUUUUUGGUUUGGUUUUUCUUGAAGAAAGAAUAUGAAGAAGCAAUUCUUAAAACUUGAGAUCCUUUUAUUUGCUUCAUUUAGUAUCCAGGUAUAGAUGUUGUGAAGCGUGAGUUAGUAGCGUGCUCAGAACUAUGUUAUAAAAGUUUGGAUAUGGUAAACUUACAGCCGUUUAAGUUGUGUAACUGUUUAGUUUUUAAUCAAUUGGAUGUUUGCAAAAGAUGCGUUUUAAAUUUUCGAAGUGGUGAGUUAUUAAAAAGAAAGUUUUUACAAUGGAUGCAAAGCAGUCGUAUCUUCGUAUCUCAUGUUAUUCAGAUACGUGACAAUGUAUCAAAACUACAGAGCUAUGCUUAGACAUAGGGGCAUUUGAGUUUUGUUCAAAUGCAGGUAGAAAAUGCGCUCUAAGUUUGUUUCUAAUGGGAAUGCGUUCCCGAAAUGAAGCCCUCCUGAUAAUUCCAGACGUUUCAUAGUCUUCAGUGACAUGAAAUGUCAAAUGUUGGUUGUACCUGAUGACAAACAGAAAGAGACUUUAAUAUAAGGGAGAAUGGGUUGAAGACAUGAAUGCAAGAGAGGCCAAAAUGUGGCAAGGUAACAAAAUAGAUUGCUACCCUAUUUAAGCUCUUGACUAGCAAAUAGAAUUUAUUCUGUGGCACUAGGUUAUCACCAUUCAUAUUUCUAGCUUUGUUCUUUGUCUUUGAGUUAUAUACAUGGAAUAUAUGAAACACGUGACAAUUCAUUUAUGUUUUUUACUGCAAAGGUUUAUUAGGACGUUGUUGGUUAAUGUAAUUGUAAUCAAUGAUGGACUUUAGCCUGAAAUAAUUUUAAAAUACUAAAUCUUCAUUCAAUGGUAAAUCAGUUGCUGCGUCUAUGAGUUGUGUUCUAUACUGUGCGUGCCAAGGAUGAUGAGCUGGUAACUGAUUGAACCUGGGUCAAUAUGCCUUUUUAUUCAAAUAUCUGAAUAAUUUCAUUGAAGGAGCCCAAUAAAAUGAUUAGGAAUACACCUGUUUACACAUAAAGGAUGAUGAAUUAGUAGAUAUUAUGGGGUAAGCUGAUGAUUCACUCAAUAUUCAGUCCAUCUGGAUAUGUGGUGGUUUUCACAGUUUUCUAAAGUCUACAAUGUUCUUUUCAGCUGUCUCGAAUGCAUCACUGGGUUCUUUGGAUAUUAAGAGUGAAAAAGGAACUCUUUGAGAAGCAAUAAUCUGCAAGUUUUUGAUUCAUCUGAUAUAAACUGGAAAGCUACUUUUUAAUUCUCUUUUGUUGUGUUCACUUAAUUAAUUACUACAUAUAAUUUAAUGUGCUGGGAAAUUUAAUUUUCUGUUAUGAUUACAUGAUCUUAUCAUGUUUCUGAGAUGAAAUCAGAUCUACAUAAAAGCAACUCCAGUAGAUGCUGCACUGUUGUAGAUGCUGCACUGUGAUAUGUGAUCGCUGAUUAGAGCUAGAAAUUUUUGGGUAUAGAUCUAUUGGGACUAUCUCUAAGUACUUCUUUGAAAUUUUAAGUUUUCUUAACUGCUUGAUAAAGGAGAAAUUGGAAAGAAGCUAAUCUUUGAAAAGCUAGGUCUUUACGAAUUAAAAUGGUUCUCCAACUAGUUGACCUAUUUGUAGUUUUUGCUGGCCAUUACUUCUGAUCAAUAGGGCUUUGAUAUCUCUUUAAAUCAUGAACAAUGAAAAAA